rnacentral:rRNA from 1 species
GACGAACGCUGGCGGCGUGCUUAACACAUGCAAGUCGAGCGGUAAGGCCCUUUCGGGGGUACACGAGCGGCGAACGGGUGAGUAACACGUGGGUGACCUGCCCUCAGCUCUGGGAUAAGCCUGGGAAACCGGGUCUAAUACUGGAUAUGACUCCAUGACGCAUGUUGGUGGGGUGGAAAGCCUUGUGCGGCUGAGGAUGGGCCCGCGGCCUAUCAGCUUGUUGGUGGGGUGANGGCCUACCAAGGCGACGACGGGUAGCCGGCCUGAGAGGGCGACCGGCCACACUGGGACUGAGACACGGCCCAGACUCCUACGGGAGGCAGCAGUGGGGUAAUCUUGCGCAAUGGGCGAAAGCCUGACGCAGCGACGCCGCGUGAGGGAUGACGGCCUCGGU